CGGAUGCCAUGUACGCAGUCUGAUGCAGCACUGCCGCGUGUGUGAUGAAGGCCUUCGGGUUGUAAAGUUCUUUUAUCCGGGAUGAUAGUGUUGGGACCCUGAGAAUAAGCCCCUGCUAAUUCCCGUCCAACAACCGCGGGUAAUAAUCC
rnacentral:rRNA from 1 species